AGAUUGAACGCUGGCGGCAGGCCUAACACAUGCAAGUCGAGCGGCAGCACGGGUACUUGUACCUGGUGGCGAGCGGCGGACGGGUGAGUAAUGCCUAGGAAUCUGCCUGGUAGUGGGGGAUAACGCUCGGAAACGGACGCUAAUACCGCAUACGUCCUACGGGAGAAAGCAGGGGACCUUCGGGCCUUGCGCUAUCAGAUGAGCCUAGGUCGGAUUAGCUAGUUGGUGAGGUAAUGGCUCACCAAGGCGACGAUCCGUAACUGGUCUGAGAGGAUGAUCAGUCACACUGGAACUGAGACACGGUCCAGACUCCUACGGGAGGCAGCAGUGGGGAAUAUUGGACAAGUGGGCGAAAGCCUGAUCCAGCCAUGCCGCGUGUGUGAAGAAGGUCUUCGGAUUAGAAAGCAACUUUUAAGUGGAGAAGGCAGUUAACCAAUACGUAAUUGUUUAGACGUUACGACAGAAUAAGCACGCUAACUCUGU
rnacentral:rRNA from 1 species